AUUGAACGCUGGCGGCAGGCCUAACACAUGCAAGUCGAGCGGAUGAAGGGAGCUUGCUCCUGGAUUCAGCGGCGGACGGGUGAGUAAUGCCUAGGAAUCUGCAUGGUAGUGGGGGAUAACGUCCGGAAACGGGCGCUAAUACCGCAUACGUCCUGAGGGAGAAAGUGGGGGAUCUUCGGACCUCACGCUAUCAGAUGAGCCUAGGUCGGAUUAGCUAGUUGGUGGGGUAAAGGCCUACCAAGGCGACGAUCCGUAACUGGUCUGAGAGGAUGAUCAGUCACACUGGGAAUUAGACACGGCCGAGACUCCUAAGGGAGGCAGCAGUGGGGAAUUUUGGACAAUGGGGGCAAGCCUGAUCCAUCCAUGCCGCGUGAGUGAAGAAGGCCUUCGGGUUGUAAAGCUCUUUAGGCUGGGAAGAAAUCGCACCCUCUAAUACAGGGUGUGGAUGACGGUACCAGCAUAAGAAGCACCGGCUAACUACGUG
rnacentral:rRNA from 1 species